rnacentral:lncRNA from 10 species
UUGCAUAUCUACUUCUGAACAAUAAUGGGAAUGGUUACAAUGACUGAUUCAGGCUGGGUCACGUACCUAAACUUGUGACCAGGGGUCUCUAGUUUUAGAAAUGGAAACCCCUUUCACAACCACGAUGUUGGAGAGGGAAGCAGCUACCUCAAAAGAAGGGAAUGAACGGUUGAGACCAGACAAUAUAAUAAGUGGCCACUCUCUGGUAGAGAAAGACUUUGGAGGAAACCCAUCAGGCAUCCAGAACCCACAGCUCUGCCAUCAGAACUCCAUCCUGGGAACAGAAGCCGUCUAUCUGCAUCUGUAAAUCCACGGGAACCUUCUCAGUGCAGUGGUAAUACAGAGUAUAAAGUAGCCCUCCUUACUCUUAAGAGGAAAUUUUGCCUCUUCACCUUUCCAAAAGAAAUGACGGGCACACCAGUGCAGGAGCAUAGGCUUUUUUCUCAAACAUCUUGAUAACACCAGAAGACAUUUGCCGAUUUCAAAUUGACAACUCAUGACAAUGUAAAACCACUCAGACUGCCUCCUCUCCCUCUUACUCUCCAGGGAGGAGAGAAGAAUGAUCAUCAAGGGCAGAAGGCAGUUACAUCGAAGCAACACUGAAAACUGGCUUCAUGCUCAGGAGAGAAUGCUGCGCUUUUUCCUCGUGAUUUGUGGUGCUCUACAUAUUCAGAGAAACUUCUCCAGUAACAAACUAUAGAAAUGAUCCCUCAAAGUAUAGUCUUCAAGAUUCUUAAUCACAUCUGAAAAGAGCCUUUGUCAUGCCAGACCCUUGCUGACAUCGAUAGGAGUGACACCCUGUUUGACAGGCUGAAGAAGAGACCUAGAGCCGGUGAAUGAAAUACAGGGUUUAUUGAAGGAACCCAGUGUCAAUGGGCUGGAUAAAAGAACAGCUACCACUUGUAAAAAACAUGCAGUUUAGGCCGGGUGUGGUGGUUCACGCCUGUAAUCCCAGCACUUUGGGAGGCUGAGGCGGGCAGAUCCUGAGGUCAGGAGAUUGAGACCAUCCUGGCUAAUACUGUGAAACCCCGUCUCUACUACAAAUACAAAAAAUUAGCUGAGCGUGGUGGCACAUGCCUGUAGUCCCAGCUACUUGGGAGGCUGAGGCAGGAGAAUCACUUGAACCUGGGAGGCGGAGGUUGCAGUGAGCCAAGAUCGUGCCACUGCACUCCAGCCUGGUGACAGAGUGAGACUCCAUCCCCAAAAAAAGAAAAAAAAAAAGAAAAUGCAGUUUAUGUGGCAUUUUCACUUAGCACCUUUCUCAUAUCAGCCUACACCUCACAACCUUCAUUUAACCCAAAACAAAGGGUUUUGAUCCCCUGUAUGGCUCAUGUUCCAUGGGAUGGGAUGGGGAUUGAGAUGUUCCUCGUAGAUAAGGAAUGAAUCUCCGGGUUGGCCACUUCCGGAUUCCUUAGCUUUGGACUCCACACACACAUUCUUUUUAGACCACAGGGUCAAUCUAAGGGUAUCAAGUUAAGUUAUUGCUGUCAGGUGUGUUUGCCAUACAGAGUCAUUCUCAGAAUAUAUGCUUAAGUUAUUGCUGAAAGGUACAUCUGUCAUAUGCCCAUUUUCCAUAUAACAUAACAUUUACAGGUUUCAGAAAUUAGAAACCAAUAUUUUAGGGAGAUUAUUUUUAGCCUACUCCUGUAUACCAUCCUAAAAAUAAGAAAUCCACACUAAAUUUGCCAAGACUAUUGAUUUGCCUUUGUAUCUAUUGGAAACACACACUUGAAUCCAUUGAUUAAAACAGCACCACAAAGUAAAUUUAACAAUACAUUUCAAGUUUUGAAAUGAAGCAUUCAUCAUUUUACAGUUCUAAGAAGAUAAAAGUAUGCAUUUGUGUCACAUUUAUGUGACACUUCAUAAAAAAGUGUUCAGGAAUCUAGAGGGAAUAGAUAAUCUCAGUUCUAGGAGAAAAAAAAAUGGCACAGGCAAAUGGGGUAAUUAGGGAGAUUAAUGAAAGAGAGUUUAGGGAAACCAAAAAUGGAUAGUGUGAUAGCAAAGGGGUGGAAAUAUGCCCCCUAGCUUUGAAAGGGGCAAGGGAAGGGAGAGAAUACCAAAAUUUAGAAUACCAAAAUGUAGAUAGAGCUGAGGCUGUGACUGUAGCUUCAGGAGAGGACUGCUGGAUAGGAGCCGUGGCCUUGGUAAAGGAGCUCAACCCCUCCCAGGCUUCCCUCUGGAAGGCGGAGCAAUUGCCUUACAGUGGCCAAAUCAAUGGGAAGUCAGGUGACAAGGAAGCCCAUUGAUGCUGUCCAUACAGAUAGAUUAGCCUCCUAGAAGAUGAUCAACUUGGAGAAAUGUAGAAAAUGAAUCUAGCUCUAAGGUCAAGAAAAAAAUAUUCCGUACUUGCUGCCAGAGAACUAUGAGGAAAAGCAUAGUAUCCUGGAAUCAGAGGGAAAAGAGUAUUUCAAGAAGGCAGGUAGGUUAAUAUUUCAAAUGGAGCUGAGAGGUCAAGUAAGAUAAGGACUAAGAGAUAUUCAUUGACUUUUAAGACAAGGAGAUCUUUGGUGACCUAAGUCAGUUCUGCUUAGAUGCAGUGGUGAGUGAUGACACUGGAUUGGAUUAGUGUGAAGAGUGAGGUAAGCAAGUGGAGACAGCAAAGGCAGACAAGAAAAUUCAUUCAAGUUUGUUUUGGAUGGGAAAAGAGACAUAGGGCAAUAGCUGAAAGACAAGAGGGGAUUGAAUAAAAAUAUUUUUCUCUCCCAAGUUAGGAAAAAUCUUAACCAGGUAAGAAUGUUAAUGAAAAGACAAAGGUGAGAGGGAGUAGGGAGAGAACCGUGGAGAAGUGUCCGUCAUUCUCACCCAGGAAAGAUUGCUCUGAUGAAUUAGCCAUGUCUGUUAUGGACAUGAGGUGAGAGCGGAGGGAUGAAUGUGUGUUACUGAUUCUAAUUCAAUCUCUAUUUUAUAGAUAAAAUUGUGUCCUACAGAUGGCGAAAGUGGGGAGUCAUUUGUUCAUUAUUCAGGUAACUAGUAAGAUGUCUUGUUACUUUCAGUCCAGGGAGUCUUAAAAUUGGGCACUGUGUUUGUUUGUAUGGCUGUAAAGUAAUACCUGAGGCUUAGAAAUUUAUAAAGAAAAGAGGUUUAUUUGGCUCACAGUUCUGCAGGCUGUACAAGAAGCAUGAUGCCAACAUCUGCUUCUGAUGGCCUCAAGUUGCUUCCACUCAUGGCAGAAAGUGAAAGGGAGCUGGUGUGUCACAUGGCGAGAGAGGGAGGAAGGCAGAGACAGCCAGAGAGUUCCAGGCUAUUUUCAACAACCAGUUCUCUUGGGAACUAAGAAUAGGAAUUCACUCACUCCUACAAAAAUGGCACCGAGCUAUUCAUGGGGGAUCCAACCUCACAAUUCAAACACCUUCCAAUAGGCCCUGCCUCCAACAUAAGGGUCACAUUUCAACACGAAACUUGACAGGACCAAAGGAACUAUAUCCAAACCAUAGCAGGCAUUAUUUCCAAAAUGAUGCCACUCCUAUAUGGGAGAGAGGUGAAGUGAUUUUAUAUUUUUCACUGAUUACUACUUUUAUUUAAUAAUUAUGCACUAAUUUUUAUAGUUGCAAUAUACUAUUGGCCCAGGAUACUGGGUUUCCUUUUAUGGUGGUAAUAUAUAGUUUUUCUCUUAGUUAAAUGCUUUUAGGCAACAAAAGUUGAUUUAAAGAACUUACAAAUAAGAAAAAGUUAUACAGAUAUUACUCAACUAUGACAAUUGUGAAAUUGUGAAGGUGGCACAUGAGUGAAUGACAUUUGAGACAUACUGCAUUAUACAUGUUGCUUAUCUGCAGAGUUAAUUUGGUGUUUAUUGGUGUAAGAACAAAGUUGAAGGGUCUAAGUCUUCUGUCUAUAAUCUCAACCUUGAAUUACUGUCUUAAGCAAUUAAAAAUGCAAACUGCACCUGAAGAAUUAAGAAGAAAGGAUGAAACAACUCUCACAGCAUUUUGCUGAGUGGACAGAAGGAUCAUCUUAGCAAUGGAUUUUAUCACAUAAUUAAAGAGGGAUUCCCUGAUUAAUUAAAUGAAGAGGCAAACUCAUUUAAACUGGUGAUGCUAAGAAGAAAUUACUGCAAUAUUUUUCUUCAGCCAAAAUAAAGUGAAUAGAUAUAGCUCUA